CCUACGGGUGGCAGCAGUCGAGAAUCAUUCACAAUGGGGGAAACCCUGAUGGUGCGACGCCGCGUGGGGGAAUGAAGGUCUUCGGAUUGUAAACCCCUGUCAUGUGGGAGCAAAUUAAAAAGAUCGUACCACAAUAGGAAGAGACUGCUAACUCUGUGCCAGCAGCCGCGGUAAUACAGAGGUCUCAAGCGUUGUUCGGAAUCACUGGGCUUAAAGCGUGCGUAGGCUGUUUCGUAAGUCGUGUGUGAAAGGCGCGGGCUCAACCCGCGGACGGCACAUGAUACUGCGAGACUAGAGUGAAGUAGGGGGAACCGGAAUUCUCGGUGUAGCAGUGAAAUGCGUAGAUAUCGAGAGGAACACUCGUGGCGAAGGCGGGUUCCUGGACAUUAACUGACGCUGAGGCACGAAGGCCAGGGGAGCGAAAGGGAUUAGAUACCCCUGUAGUC
rnacentral:rRNA from 1 species